UAGAACUUAUUUGAUUUGGCCAUAACUCAAUUUUCAUAACUUAAUAUUCAUAACUCAAACUCAAAACCUAUAACUUAUAAUCCAAUCCUCACUUUCUCGCAAAAACUUCAAAAUGCUUGUUUAGUUACAUAACUCAGCCACAUAAUUCAUACUUUUUGCCAAAAGCGUGAAACCCACCCACUGACACCACACAGUGGGCUUAUGGUUGCUACCCUCGUGGAUUUUCUUUUACCUCUCACCGAAAUUUUCUCCCAUCAGAGCACGCCUGUCUUCCCCGAAAAGACCCAAACCCCACAAGCCAAAAGCAUAGCAAUCACCUCCCAAUCCAACGUCGGUGAAGAUCGAGAACAGAUCGUCGCCUGGGACUGGUGAAGAUUACUCUGGAGUUCGCUACAAUUAUCGUUGCACUUGCUGAACCACCGUUUAACGUAAUUUUCUCAUGACCCUUUGGCUCCGUCUCUCUUGCCCUGUUUGGGGAAGUUUUAGGAUCAACCUAAGGAAUGGUUUGGGCCUACUUCGCCUCUGAAAAAACAACGAGAUUUUGGGUCUGUAAUGUUUAACCCCAUAUCCCACAACAAUAUUUAUGUAAUCAAUGGGUUUCGUUGAGCUUGGGUUUAAUAUUAUAUAUGCUAUUUGGGUUAGAUAAAUUCAAACUUUUAAGUAUACAUUAGAUGUUUGGAAAAACGUUUGAAUUUUUCCAUCUAUAGAAUUGAAUCAACAUACUACUUGACACAGUUUGGAUAUAGAUGAAUUUUCAAUGGUAUAAGCAGAGCAGUUUGUAAUUUCUACGUACAGUUUGAUGCGUGUUAUAGUUUAGUCAUUCAUUUGAAAUUGGAAAACUUUAGAGUACUUGGUAUAAAUUGGUUCUCAGGACCCAGGUAGGAAACUAUGGAUUGACAUACUAUUAACCAUGUUGUUAUCUAACUGAAGUCUGACUGAUUCUAUAAAUUUCUUUAAACUGUAUUUUUUUGAGUGAGUUCUUGGAUAGUGGAGCCAGAUUGGUAAUGUAGGCUGCUGGGAAUGGAUUCUUUUGCCAGUUGCAUCAAUCUCUACUAUCAUGAUACUAUUUUGAUUGUCAAGUUGUGUUUAUGAAAUGUAUAGAACUUGCUCAAGACUAGUUUGACUGAGUUCUCUGUGACUGGUUAUGGAUAUUUGAUUGUUGUGUUCA